UCCUCCCUCUUGCUUCGUGCCUAAUACAUGCAAGUCGAACGAACCGCGACUAAGUGCUUGCACUAAGUCAAGGUGAGUGGCGAACGGGUGAGUAACACGUGGGUAACCUACCUCAUAGUGGGGGAUAACAGUCGGAAACGACUGCUAAUACCGCAUAGGACAUAGGAUCACAUGAUCCAGUGAGGAAAGGUGGCGCAAGCUAUCGCUAAGAGAUGGACCCGCGGUGCAUUAGCUAGUUGGUAGGGUAAAGGCCUACCAAGGCGAUGAUGCAUAGCCGACCUGAGAGGGUGAUCGGCCACAUUGGGACUGAGACACGGCCCAAACUCCUACGGGAGGCAGCAGUAGGGAAUCUUCCGCAAUGGACGCAAGUCUGACGGAGCAACGCCGCGUGAGUGAAGAAGGUCUUCGGAUCGUAAAGCUCUGUUGUUAGAGAAGAACAGCGCAUAGAGUAACUGCUAUGCGUGUGACGGUAUCUAACCAGAAAGCCACGGCUAACUACGUG
rnacentral:rRNA from 1 species